UACGUAGGGGGCAAGCGUUGUCCGGAAUCAUUGGGCGUAAAGAGCGUGUAGGCGGCCCGAUAAGUCCGCUGUGAAAGUCCAGGGCUCAACCCUGGAAUGCCGGUGGAUACUGUCGGGCUCGAAUCCGGAAGAGGUGAGUGGAAUUCCUGGUGUAGCGGUGGAAUGCGCAGAUAUCAGGAGGAACACCAAUAGCGAAGGCAGCUCGCUGGGACGUUACUGACACUGAGGCGCGAAAGCGUGGGGAGCGAACAGG
rnacentral:rRNA from 1 species